GAUGAACGCUGGCGGCGUGCCUAAUACAUGCAAGUCGAGCGAACAGACGAGGAGCUUGCUCCUCUGACGUUAGCGGCGGACGGGUGAGUAACACGUGGAUAACCUACCUAUAAGACUGGGAUAACUUCGGGAAACCGGAGCUAAUACCGGAUAAUAUAUUGAACCGCAUGGUUCAAUAGCGAAAGACGGUUUUGCUGUCACUUAUAGAUGGAUCCGCGCCGCAUUAGCUAGUUGGUAAGGUAACGGCUUACCAAGGCGACGAUGCGUAGCCGACCUGAGAGGGUGAUCGGCCACACUGGAACUGAGACACGGUCCAGACUCCUACGGGAGGCAGCAGUAGGGAAUCUUCCGCAAUGGGCGAAAGCCUGACGGAGCAACGCCGCGUGAGUGAUGAAGGUCUUCGGAUCGUAAAACUCUGUUAUUAGGGAAGAACAAAUGUGUAAGUAACUAUGCACGUCUUGACGGUACCUAAUCAGAAAGCCACGGCUAACUACGUG
rnacentral:rRNA from 1 species